CCUCUCGCGAGAACAGCCGGAGUUGGGGGCUCUCGCACCUUAAAUGCUCACAUUUGCUCGUUGCUCAGCCAGCCAUCUUCUUUCUCUAACGGCUGGUUUUGAAAGUUUGGAGGAGAAUGAAACCUAACAGAACUUUCUGAAGAAAUAGUCCACCGGCUCCAUGGACUAGGAGCUAUGGAUAAAAGUAGCCCAGGGAUGACAUCCAACCCUUGAAUGAAAAGUCAAGAAUCCAUCAUUUCCACGUGCCUGAGCAUCCAGAUGGUUGGCAUCAGUGGAUAUAUACUGUGUAUCCAUUCACUGAACAAAUAUUUAUUGAGUGUCUGCUCUAUGCCUGGCUCUCUGCUAGGCCCUGAUGACUCCAAACUGAGUAAGAUUGAUUAUUCAGUCAACCUCACAAAAUCAAAUCAUCUUGAAGCAGAAAGGAAACAGCAACUGUACAUAGAAACAUUUCCAUUCCUGGCACCACUGUUUUAGACAUCAUCCUAGGAUACUCCUUUUUGUUUCGUGGCAAGCAUGGAAAGUGAAGAAACUGAGACUCAGAGACAUCAAGUAACUUGUUCAAGGCACACAGCUAUCGAGGGUCGGAGCUGAAACUCCAGGCCACUCCUUUUCCCAGUCCUGUGAUGGGAAGCAGAGAGCUAACUGGGCUGAUUCUGCCGCCCUCUGGUUCCAUCCCUUCAGAAAUGACAAAUUAUCCUGAGCCUCAGUGUGUUCAUCUAGCUAGUGGGACCACAGUGCCUCUCUCAGGAGCCAGUCAUGGGAAUCAAAGGAAAUAAUCGAUGUGGGGGCUCCUGGCUUUGGAGCCAACGUGCCUUAGGUGCUCAGCAAAUGUUUUUAUGGAUGGGAGCUUCAAACCCUCUUCCACCCUUGCCUCCUGCUUUCCACCAUCCUCCAACAUCCUCCCAGAGUGAGCAGCUCAUGACAUCCUAGAGCACGCUGUUUGAGUUAGAAGGUGUCCUGGCUUCUCUGAGAGCCCAGCCAGUGUGGAUAGCACAGGAGGAGAAGGCAUGGCCACCGCUGGGAGGUGAGAGUUUAUCUCUGCAGACACAGCCUGUCCAUCUCUGAAAUAUUAAAAAGACUUCCAGGAAGCACUGGAGAACUUUCCAAAAUGCAUCAUUCUUCAAGAACAGAAUUAUAAGGUAAUAGAAGAGCCACAUGCCCAACCUCAGCUCCAAUUCUCUCCAUCCUAAGAAGGAGCAAGCUGACCCCCAGUAUUCUUCCUGGGUCUAGAAACUCAAAGAACGAACUCCCCAUUUCCUCCAUCUGCCCCUGUCUCCUACCCAGUCCACUUUUGAGCCAUUGGCCCAUGUAACUCCCCAGCCCGCCAGGGAUCUACUGCCCUCAUGAGAGACUGAUCUUGCUCUAAUGUUUUAAACCUGAACCACUGAUUUCUGAAAAAUAAAUAUGAUCAAAAGGAA